UACGGGGGGGGCAAGCGUUGUUCGGAAUUACUGGGCGUAAAGGGCGCGUAGGCGGCCUGCUAAGUCACACGUGAAAUCCCUCGGCUCAACCGGGGAACUGCGUGUGAUACUGGCGGGCUUGAAUUCGGGAGAGGGAUGUGGAAUUCCAGGUGUAGCGGUGAAAUGCGUAGAUAUCUGGAGGAACACCGGUGGCGAAGGCGGCAUCCUGGACCGAGAUUGACGCUGAGGCGCGAAAGCUAGGGGAGCAAAGCGGGG
rnacentral:rRNA from 1 species